rnacentral:rRNA from 1 species
GGCAGCAGCCGCGGGAACACCGGCGGCCCGAGUGGUGAUCGUGAUUAUUGGGUCUAAAGGGUCCGUAGCCGGUUUGGUCAGUCCUCCGGGAAAUCUGAUAGCUCAACUAUUAGGCUUUCGGGGGAUACUGCCAGACUUGGAACCGGGAGAGGUAAGAGGUACUACAGGGGUAGGAGUGAAAUCUUGUAAUCCCUGUGGGACCACCUGUGGCGAAGGCGUCUUACCAGAACGGGUUCGACGGUGAGGGACGAAAGCUGGGGGCACGAACCGGAUUAGAUACCCGGGUAGUCCCAGCCGUAAACGAUGCUCGCUAGGUGUCAGGCAUGGCGCGACCGUGUCUGGUGCCGCAGGGAAGCCGUGAAGCGAGCCACCUGGGAAGUACGGCCGCAAGGCUGAAACUUAAAGGAAUUGGCGGGGGAGCACAACAACGGGUGGAGCCCUGCGGUUUAAUUGGACUCAACGCCGGACAACUCACCGGGGGCGACAGCAAUAUGUAGGCCAAGCUGAAGACUCUGCCUGAAUCGCUGAGAAGAGGUGCAUGG